AGAGGUCAGUGUAUGAGAAACAUUCCUGGCGCUCAAUUGUGAUGCUAGCAAUAUUCUGUUCGUUUUCUUGUGUGUUAGCAAGGACAAGUAGUUAGAGAUGAGCUACUGAAAACAACUGAGGUUUUUGAAAUGAGGAAGUGAAAAAGCCUCAGCAGCGAAGAGUAUGCAGAGAGCAGAGCAGCAGUACAAGCUAACGUUACUGCUGCUAGCAUAAACGUUACAACAACAGAGGCUAGCAGCUAGCUACAUGUCCAGGGUCCAACCGGAGAAAUAGGAGCCAGUCUAAGAGACCAACUCCAGCUCUGAGACCAGUGCGUCCAUCAAGGGCAAUAGCAGAUGAAGGUCACUGGGUUGAUGUUGCAGAUAUGCUAAAAACACAAGGCGUCAUCAUCUGGCAAGGGUCUGCAUUG